rnacentral:lncRNA from 1 species
GGAGUGCUAAUAUUUUAUUAAAGUCUCUAUUUACAAAAGAAAACAAAUGAUAAUAAUUAUAAAAAAUUACAAUUGCAAUCUUGUUGGGUGUUCGUCCGCAUAUCAAACUUGAUGCCUUCCAUUUAAGAUAUGCCCACAGAACAUUGAUUUCGAAGAUUUUUACAAAUACAACCAUCAUCAAGAACUAUUCACACUAAUCACUAUUAUUACUAUCACCCAUAUUAUCACUGUCUUCAUUAUUUAUCCCUUUUGUCAAUAUUCUAACUAAUCACUGUCAUAACUACUAUCAAUAUUUUCACUAUUAUCACUUUCAUCAAUAGUAGGGUGCCCAAUCUACAAAUUUGAUCUAUUUGCCUAAACGGAAUAACCCACGGCUAUAUUUUGUAUCAUUGGAAAGAGGAGAACAAACUUCAUCGAAAUGCUGUUGUCGUCGUUGUCUGCGGUGGUCUCUUUUUUUUUUUUUUUUUAAAUUAGGGUCAAAGGUCAAAGCUUAAAUUUCAGAAAAAUUAACAGUCACAUUUAGAUAGCUUGUUUCUCCUAUAUAUAUGCGUUUGGAGCAAAAUAAAAACAACUAAUUUAUAGAUAAAUAUCUUUUGUAUCUACAUUUAGAACUUAAGUCAUAUUUUUAUCGCCAAAAAUGACUUUAGAUAGACUUUUUUGCAUGUAGGGUGCAAAUUUAAAAUUUUCAAACAGCUGUUAAAUAACAGUAACCUUGAUCAAUUUCUAGGUAAAUAUCAAAUUUCUGUUAUUUGGUGUGAAAGAGUAUAUAAAAAUGAUUUGUUUCGAAAUUUGUGCCACUUCAACGCCAAACUUGGUUGAAUAUAAAGCUCUGUGUACAGAUUUGCUUUACAGAAACGGAGAAAAAGGGGGGUAAAAGUUAUGAAAACAAAACGUCUAAUAGAAACAGGUAAAACACCCAAUCCUACAUAUACAGAUGACUAAAUGAGCAACAAUUGGCUAUAAUGUUUACAAGUAUUCCAAAAAUAUAAUAAGGGAGAGGGUUAUGUACAGCACCGAUGUAUUUUACAAACAAUUGCAAACAAAAAAGGCGUGAGAAACCAAAGGGAAAUUAAAAACUUAUAAAUUGAAGACAAGCUGACAACAGGAUGACAAAAACACGAAAAAAGAACAAAUGCAAAUAGAAAUUUAUGAUCGAAGCUAAUAUUACCUUCUACGUUCUAUGGUCUCCUGUAGUUU